CUUGAAUCAAGAGUGACGGGCGAUUUGUGCAUGCUUAAUUUCAUUGUGAUUCUAACUUAAUUUUUAUUAAUAAAUUUUAUUUUCAAGUCCUCUUUCAGUUUUUUUUCUUUUUACUUCUAUUCUUUUUGUUCUUUGUAUCCCAUGUUAUUCCUCUUUAUGAUCUCUGUCUUGAUUUGUAUUGUUAUUUUUGUUCAUUUUUAAAAAAAACUUUUAAGUUUUUGUUUUAAACAAUGAUAUAGAAAAUAAUAAAAGAGGUUUAAUUAAUCGUGGGCUAUCUAUUACAUCACAGGAUCCCCUAUUUAGCUUAAGCACCGCCAUCUAACUUAAUUUUUGUUUAAUUAACUACUAAUUUUCUUUACUUUAAAA
rnacentral:rRNA from 1 species